rnacentral:rRNA from 1 species
ACCCGCACAAGCGGUGGAGCAUGUGGUUUAAUUCGACGAUACGCGAAGAACCUUACCUGGCCUUGACAUACUAAAAAGCUUUAAGAGAUUAGAGUGUGCUAGCUUGCUAGAAUUUAGAUACAGGUGCUGCACGGCUGUCGUCAGCUCGUGUCGUGAGAUGUUGGGUUAAGUCCCGCAACGAGCGCAACCCUCGUGUUUAGUUGCUAACAGUUCGGCUGAGAACUCUAAACAGACUGCCUACGCAAGUAGGAGGAAGGUGAGGACGACGUCAAGUCAUCAUGGCCCUUACGGCCAGGGCUACACACGUGCUACAAUGGGGUAUACAAAGAGCAGCGAUACGGUGACGUGGAGCAAAUCUAGAAAAUGCCUCUCAGUUCGGAUUGUAGUCUGCAACUCGACUACAUGAAGUUGGAAUCGCUAGUAACCGUAGAUCAGCAAUGCUACGGUGAAUACGUUCCCGGGUCUU